rnacentral:misc_RNA from 1 species
CAGAGUUUUCUUGCUUCACAUCCAAAACAGCACAGGCACUUGAAGCUUGAUGAUGUAACAUUUGCUCCUCCCAAUUUUCCAACUUCUUAGCCUGAAAAUAUCUCAUAUUUCCCUUAUUAUCUUCAUCCACCAAUCCACCCCUAAAAAAAAUACAUCAAGAGCCCCAGCAAAUUUCAAUAGUCUGCAUUAAAACCUCAAUACAUAGAAAGUUUUAAAGAUCUAUAUAUGCAGAGAGAGGAAGGAAAAGUGCAUGUAUGAAAUGAAACAUGUUUAGGAGACAAGUAUUAUGAAUACGAGUAAAUUAAGUGUCUAUGAGGAUAAAGGUGGAAUUCUGUAUAAAAACAACCACAACUAUGCCUUAAUCCCUAGCUAGUUAGCUCUGCUAUAUAAAUUUUUUUUGGCCGUUCAAAAAGAAAGAAAGAAAGAAAAACUCCACAUGCGCCCAAGAGGGAGAACUAGAAAGGAAAGAGAUUUACAUAAGGAGUUGGCUCCAUGAUUCUGGAAGUUGAUCUUGAUUAUCAUGCCAAGAAGGAAUAGUA